rnacentral:rRNA from 1 species
AACGAACGCUGGCGGCAUGCCUAACACAUGCAAGUCGAACGAGACCUUCGGGGCUAGUGGCGCACGGGUGCGUAACGCGUGGGAACCUGCCCUUAGGUUCGGAAUAACUCCCCGAAAGGGGUGCUAAUACCGGAUAAUGUCUUCGGACCAAAGAUUUAUCGCCUUUGGAUGGGCCCGCGUUGGAUUAGCUAGUUGGUAGGGUAAAAGCCUACCAAGGCGACGAUCCAUAGCUGGUCUGAGAGGAUGAUCAGCCACACUGGGACUGAGACACGGCCCAGACUCCUACGGGAGGCAGCAGUGGGGAAUAUUAGACAAUGGGCGAAAGCCUGAUCCAGCAAUGCCGCGUGAGUGAUGAAGGCCUUAGGGUUGUAAAGCUCUUUUACCCGGGAUGAUAAUGACAGUACCGGGAGAAUAAGCUCCGGCUAACUCCGUG